UACAGAGGGUGCUAGCGUUGUUCGGAAUUAUUGGGCGUAAAGGGCAGGUAGGUGGUCUUAUAAGUCUAAUGUGAAAGCCCCGGGCUUAACCUGGGAUGUGCGUUAGAUACUGUAAGACUAGAGUGCUAGAUGGGUAUGCGGAAUUCCCGGUGUAGCGGUGAAAUGCGUAGAUAUCGGGAGGAAUAUCAGAGGCGAAGGCGGCAUACUGGAUAGUAACUGACACUCAACUGCGAAAGCGUGGGGAGCAAACAGG
rnacentral:rRNA from 1 species